CACGCCGGCCCUCUGACGCCUGCGCCCAGCUCACUGCCUGCAGGCCUCGGCCCGCAAGCUGCCCUGCACCCCCUUGCAAGACAGCCGGGGGUGGGGGGUUGGGGGGCAGCUUUCCCGACCCCAGACGCCCAUGUCAUGGGAAGGCUCCGAGAAACCGAUAAGCAGGGCAAGGAGGACAAGGCCUGCACGGGGAGGCAGCCCGGUGGCCUUUCUACCAAACCUCAGAGUCACCCUUCUCCCCCGCCCCUACAACACGCACUUGAACUUGAAGUGCUUAAGGUCAGUCCCCAGGUCCUCUGACUUUUGAGCUCCUUUGAGCAAAGAGAAUGUCACACAUUCUCGCAGGACAGAUGGCCCUCUGAUGCCAACACGCACAGGGCACACGCCAAGCACAGGGCGUCCGCUGCAAAGUAUCUGCAGGGACCACUACUGAGCUCGGAACUCAGGGAGAAAAGGCAUCGCCUUCCUCGGCACGCCUGGCCUGUUUUCUCCACGGCCGGGAAGCGGAACUCAGCGAACAGAACCAGCUGGGGCAGAGCUAGGUUUUUUGCAGAUUCUCUUCUUCCUGCGUCCUUUGAUUCUGCCCUCGGUAUGCUUUGCCGCAGGCUCCUCGCGUCCACGUCCUGAGUUCCGAGGGGCGCUACGCAGACACGCUUCGGAUUUAAGCUGCAGCCAAAAGACUCACAGACAACAAGGAGCGUGGUUGGCCGGGCAUGAUUUUUCCUUGUGGUCCCUGGAUGCUGAACAAAAGGAGACUCUAUGUGUUACGAUGUCAAACAAGGAGCACGUCAAUUCUCUCCAGAACAUCUCCGGCUCCAGAACACACAUGCCUGAGUUUGGUAACAACAGCCUCGACAGCUCUGUCACAGUAGCCAGCAUGCGUCGAUUUUUGCUGUGCAGCAGUACCGGCUAGCGUGUCUUCAUUCACUGAACACACGCGCUGCCUGCGACCCGCCCGCUUACAUGCAGGAAGUGCUGCACGGCGCCCGCAGCCGCGUCCUUGCCUUUCCACAGCCCCUGGCACACUGACUUCGCUUGUCCAACACUCUCAAAUUCAGGUGAAAUAAAUUUUUAAAAGAAAAGCUACUCAUUUCACUUUUAGGCAUAUAAUUAAAGCUGUUUUUAUUUCUUUAAGAAGAUUCAGAAGCUGAAGUGUAUCCAACAUUAACUCUCAUGGGAAAUGAAACAAUCUUAGUUGAAGUCAGUAACAGGAAAGCCUUCAUACAAACACAAAAGUCCUCCUGCAUCGUUUUGCUCCAAAUGAUGCGGACAGGAAAAGCACCAGCACGUGCAAGGACAUGAGACACUGGGAAGUGGACACGAGGAGCAACUGCAAGUGGCUACUGCACUGUCAAUCGCAGGUGGGGAAGGCGGGGUGACUGCCAGCCAAGUUGUACACAGUAUCUCAAAUAAUUUGAGUCAAAAAACAAGAGAAACAGAUACCCCUCAAACCAGCAGAUCCUGUUUGCUUGGAGAGUAAAUAGUUUUUAGAUUAAACUGAUCAAAAUAGUAAGAGAAUACUGCCACAUGUUCAUCUAAUUAUAUUAUUCAAGCUAAACAAAAUUUUUGAUUUUUAGAUGUUUAUGCUGAUGAAAUAAUUACUUGUGAUAAAUGGCUCCCAACAUUUCAGAAAAUUAAAUACUUGAGGAUAUAAACUAUUAUGUUCAUAAAGAAAAUGAGUAGAAAAAUAUGUACUUUAGGUAGGCAAUUUUUUUUAGGUAGGCAACUUUUUACACAUGUGCCUAGGAUAAUGUCUGGCCUACAACACUGACAUGUUAUAUAAUGACAAAACACAUGCGAGUUCAUGU